rnacentral:rRNA from 1 species
AUUGAACGCUGGCGGAAUGCUUACACAUGCAAGUCGAACGGUAGAGGGGGCAACCCCUCGAGAGUGACGAACGGGUGAGUAAUAUAUCGGAACGUGCCCAGUCGUGGGGGAUAACGUAGCGAAAGUUACGCUAAUACCGCAUACGAUCUAAGGAUGAAAGCGGGGGAUCGCAAGACCUCGCGCGAUUGGAGCGGCCGAUAUCAGAUUAGGUAGUUGGUGGGGUAAAGGCUCACCAAGCCAACGAUCUGUAGCUGGUCUGAGAGGACGACCAGCCACACGGGAACUGAGACACGGUCCAGACUCCUACGGGAGGCAGCAGUGGGGAAUUUUGGACAAUGGACGCAAGUCUGAUCCAGCCAUUCCGCGUGCAGGAUGAAGGCCCUCGGGUUGUAAACUGCUUUUGUACGGAACGAAAAGGUCUCUCUUAAUACGGGGGACUCAUGACGGUACCGUAAGAAUAAGCACCGGCUAACUACGUGCCAGCCGCCGCCGUAAUAC